GACGAACGCUGGCGGCGUGCCUAAUACAUGCAAGUCGAACGAGAGCGACCGGUGCUUGCACUGGUCAAUCUAGUGGCGAACGGGUGAGUAACACGUGGGUAACCUGCCCAUCAGAGGGGGAUAACAUCCGGAAACGGAUGCUAAAACCGCAUAGGUCUUCGAGCCGCAUGGCUUGAAGAGGAAAAGAGGCGCAAGCUUCUGCUGAUGGAUGGACCCGCGGUGCAUUAGCUAGUUGGUGAGGUAACGGCUCACCAAGGCCGUGAUGCAUAGCCGACCUGAGAGGUGGAUCGGCCACAUUGGGACUGAGACACGGCCCAAACUCCGACGGGAGGCAGCAGUAGGGAAUCUUCCGCAAUGGACGCAAGUCUGACGGAGCAACGCCGCGUGAGUGAAGAAGGUUUUCGGAUCGUAAAACUCUGUUGUUAGAGAAGAACAAGUGCUAGAGUAACUGUUAGCGCCUUGACGGUAUCUAACCAGAAAGCCACGGCUAACUACGUG
rnacentral:rRNA from 1 species